AUAUCAGAGGUCACACACCUCUGGAGCAACUAGGGGUUUAGAGUCUUGCUCAAGGACACAUUGGUUGAUGUAACGCAGUAGGAAUCGAACCCUGAUCUCCCACACCAAAGACAUGUGUCAUGUCCACUGCACCAUCACCACAAACUCAUAU